GAGACGGGGUGAUCGCCGAUGGGGAGUGCUGCGACGUCGCAGCCGGCGCUAGCGGCGAUGGGAAAAGUUGAUGCUCGUGUUCUUCCCCGUCCGCCAGGAAGAGGUCGACGUUUCGCGAGCGCGAAAGGCAUGUGCGCCGCCGUUGUGAUCGGUGACGAGUUAUCCAAUGUUGAAACUUGAAAAUUGUGAACAAAGCAGUGCAUGAGGAGAUGAGGUGGAGAAGUCACUGUUGCAUCUUCUUUAUAUGCUACCUAUAUAUGUAUAUCACAUAUGUUAAUAAGAAGAAACUUUCUUAAAACUUCCGAUGACCUUUCUAUGCAUGUUCACUCUGUAAAUUGCUUGCUAUAAAUUUUCUUCAGGGAAGGGCAUGUGGAAGACUUUCUCCUUUUGUAUUGUCUUCUCUGAAUAUUGUGGGUAGCAAGCAGUGUUUUAUGUAUAAACAAAUAUACUGAUGUAA